GAUGAACGCUAGCGGGAGGCCUAACACAUGCAAGCCGAGCGGUAUUGUUUCUUCGGAAAUGAGAGAGCGGCGUACGGGUGCGUAACACGUGUGCAACCUGCCUUUAUCUGGGGGAUAGCCUUUCGAAAGGAAGAUUAAUACUCCAUAAUAUAUUGAACGGCAUCGUUUAAUAUUGAAAGCUCCGGCGGAUAGAGAUGGGCACGCGCAAGAUUAGCUAGUUGGUGAGGUAACGGCUCACCAAGGCGAUGAUCUUUAGGGGGCCUGAAAGGGUGAUCCCCCACACUGGUACUGAGACACGGACCAGACUCCUACGGGAGGCAGCAGUGAGGAAUAUUGGUCAAUGGGUGCAAGCCUGAACCAGCCAUCCCGCGUGAAGGACGACUGCCCUAUGGGUUGUAAACUUCUUUUGUAUAGGGAUAAACCUACCCUCGAGAGGGUAGCUGAAGGUACUAUACGAAUAAGCACCGGCUAACUCCGUG
rnacentral:rRNA from 1 species